rnacentral:rRNA from 1 species
AAUUCAACUUGACUUAGUGGCGGACGGGUGAGUAACGCGUGAGCAACCUGCCUACAAAGGGGGACAACAGUUGGAAACGACUGCUAAUACCGCAUAAGACCACGCUAUCGCAUGGUAGAGAGGUCAAAGAUUUAUCGCUUGUAGAUGGGCUCGCGUCUGAUUAGCUGGUUGGUGAGGUAAUGGCUCACCAAGGCGACGAUCAGUAGCCGACCUGAGAGGGUGAUCGGCCACACUGGAACUGAGACACGGUCCAGACUCC